UGCUCGGUUGAAGUGCGAGCCUUAUCCUCUUCACAUUUUUUGAGGAUGUGUCCACUAUAUAUAGAUGGCCUCCUUUGCUUGAAUUUCACUUUACAAUCAUCACCUUGGUGUAGUGGUAAAUUCUUCUCACCUUGUCUAAAAAGUUCUGGGUUCGAUCCUUCCCAAGAUCAUUCUUUCAACUCUUAUUUCUAUUAUUUAGAUGUAUAUAUUUAUUAUUUUAUUUUUAUAUACAUAUUUAAAUAUACUUGGAUAUGUUCCACACUUGCCUCCAUCGUACAUGACUUGUUUCACCCUUAAUCUUGGGGUAGCAUUUUAAUGCUCGCAUUUUGAUUUAUGUAAUAGGUGUCUUGCUCACUUCGAAGCAAAUUGUCCUUUUUCUGCUAUCUUUCCUAUUCCAAGAGGUUGGAUGUGUCAAGGCAGCGCGUUUCUUUGGACUAUUCCGUCCCGGGUCCCAUUUGGAAGCGACCCAAAGAGAGAUGUUUUUUUGCGACCGAUAUCAUUGACAUUUCUUCCUCUGAUUUGGAGGGUACUCAAGAGAAUCCACACGCUAGAGGUACGGACGGCUGUCCAAGUGAAAGGUGGAAUUCAUGGGUUGGUUUCAUAUGAAAAGAAGUCAUUUUGAUUGGGAUAAUUUGGUUGAGAAGAGCCAUAUUAUUUUGUGCCCCAUGGUUGGUUGUCUUUGUGUGUCAAUAUUUAUUAAGUUGUGCAAUAAAGUGGGCUGGUUUGUUAGGGUUGGCUUGGCAUUCAAGCUUCCUUUCUCCAAUCAGGCCUAUCCGAAAGAGAUUCUUGGUUGUGAAUCUAUAAAUAGAACGAACCGCUCUGUGAAUAUCUUUGCUUCGGAAUAAAACAAUUAGAAUUAGUCUGUUAUACAUUUAGGAUAUUUAAUUUAAUAGGAUAAACUAUUAAAUAUAGUUUACGAAUAGGGUGUGCAUAAAUCGAUCUAAUCCAAUUACAAUCGAUCGAUACAAUCACAACUGAUCACCAUACAUUAAAUAUCCAAUUGUGAUCGUAUCAGAUUAGAUAUUAUUUUUAAAUAUCCAAUUAGAUCGGAUCAAAUGUUGAAUGGACUGUCUAAAAAUUCAAUACAUCCAAUAUCUAAUUGAACUAAUUAGUAUUUUCAUUUAGUUUAGAUGAGUUAUUAGAUUUUAUGUUGUUAUACUUAAAAUAAAUGUAUAUAUUAAA